CGUGUGCUUGGCUCCCCUGCGCCUCAGCUCUCUCCUCCAUCAAAUGGGAUCAGGCGGCUGCUGCUGGACGCGUUUGGGGCCUCGAAGGGGCCGUGCUUAGAGUCCACACUGGUGCGCGAUGGAGAGUGAGUGUGCAGCGAGCACCGGCCACGCGGGGUCUGCUCCGGCUCCCCAGCUGCAUAGACUGAGACGCCUGGAGGAUGUCAGCGGGUGAUCCUGUGCCGGGGAUCCGGGGAAAGCUGGGUCCAGCAGCCAGAGCCUGAGAGACGAGGGGGGCCGAGCGGAGCUUCGUCCUGGCCGCUCUGAACCUCGGUCUCGUCCUCCAGCACCGACUGAGUGCACCCAACAAAGUGGCUGGUGCAUAGCAGGUGCGCAGUCACUGUGGCUGCCACGACGGGACCCACGUGCCCAGCACCACCCUGGCCGCUCCUCCUCACCUUCCGGAGAUGGCAGUGACGGCGCCCACCGAAGGGCGGGAUCAGCCAACGCUGCGGACGCCGCCUCACACGUCUCUGCCCCUGGCUGUGCUGCGGUUCUCAAAACGCCGGACAAGGACCUUCCACGGGACCCCGCUGAGACUGUCCCCGGCACGCGCCCCAGACAACUGAAGACCGAGGUCGGCACCAAAACCUGCCCUCGCACGUUCCAGAUGCGCUGUUCACAGCGGCCAGAGGGAGAGACCACGAGGCGGCGAGGUCCUGGGUCUCCAGCCUGGAAGCCGGGCUCCCGACCUCAGCAGGUCGGAAGGAGGAAGGCGCCUUCCUGCACGUGCUGUAACUGGCAGCCACGCUCUUGAUAAUCAGUCGCUGUGGCCCUAAAUGUGGACAUUUAUCGCCUGCUUCAGGGAGAGCUGG